UACGUAGGUGGCAAGCGUUGUCCGGAUUUACUGGGCGUAAAGCGCGCGCAGGCGGUCUGUCGCGUUCGAGGUGAAAUCUCCCGGCUCAACUGGGAGGGGUCUUCGGAUACGGGCAGACUUGAGGAGAGCAGAGGUGAGCGGAAUUCUCGGUGUAGUGGUGAAAUGCGUAGAUAUCGAGAGGAACACCAGUGGCGAAGGCGGCUCACUGGGCUCCACCUGACGCUGAGGCGCGAAAGCGUGGGGAGCGAACCGG
rnacentral:rRNA from 1 species